rnacentral:lncRNA from 1 species
ACACUCUGUUUAAUUAAUAUAUAUAUUUAGGCAUUCGGCUCUUUCAACCGACCAGUCAUUAUAUAUUUCAUUUAUUCAGCUCUUUCAGCCGACCAGUUAUUGUGUACUUCUUCUAUUCGGCUCUUCUGCCGACAUUGAUCCCUGCACAGUUCAUACAUUCGGCUCAUCCAGCCGAACCGAUUCUACAGUAAAGGUUUUUUAACUCGGCUGAUCCGAUCCCUUGUAAGCCAAAUCGCUUGAUCUGUCGAAGGACGCAAACUUCGAGGGUCAUUAUCCGCAGCCGUUCCUCACCCCGACGCGCUCCCCGAGGAGGAUCUUUGACUGGGUCAAGGGUCGGAAAAUUCGGCUACCAACAAUUUUUUGCACGCCCGAUGAGACACCAUUUAAGGUAAUUUUAUUUUUUAUUAAGAUAUAAUAGCUGACGAAAAUGCUAUGAACCUCCGGAAUAGAGCGAUUCCCAGGCCUUCAGGGAAUGACCAAGCUAGUAGCGCCGAAAAUGAGAAUCAGGCAGUACUACCUGUUGGAGGAGAGACUAGUGAACAGUCGGCUCAUCAAGAGCGGAGUCUAACUCAGGCACUCGGCCAGAUGACCCGAGUCCUGCAAACUGUAGAUCAACCAUCAAAGUGCCGCUCGACUAGACGCGGUGCUGGCGGCCAUCACGGCCUAUAAUAAAAAUAUUGUUCGAAUUAGACAGUUAUUUACUCAAAACGAGCAACCUUACGGGGGGCAACAAGGACCCCUAACUGCACCGGCGCAACAAAAUCCCGUCACGCUAGCGGUCUCACAGGUGCAACUGCAAAUGGCACCUUUCCAGGUUGCUUACAGGCCGACGAAUAUAAACGCCGGCUCUCAGUCGGAGAUUGCAUCGGGUUUACCUCCUUUACCAGCUUAUCAGUCCCAAAAUGCAGGGAUUAGGGCUGGGGGCAGGCCCUUAAUGAUAUGCAAGGAGCGAAUCCUGCAAAACAGAAUUAUGGAGUUCCUUAAGGGCCAAAUUCAGCUCAAGCACAAGCUCCACUUCCUAUACAAGGGAAUAACGAUGAGCUGUAUGCUCAGAUUGAGGAAGCCAUUCGGAAUACCUUUGGAGUAAGGGCCAGGCCGGCUAUGCGGCCUGUUUUUCGAUCCCCGUAUCCCGCAAACAUAGAUACAGAGCAUCCGUAUCCGGCAAACUGGAAAAUGCCGAAGUUCGACAAGUUCUCGGGCAAUGAGACCGAGAAUACGGUCGAGCAUAUAGUCCGGUUCACGGCCCAAUGUAGAGAAGCGGCGGCUGACUCAUUUUUGAAACUUCGAUUAUUUAACACGUCGUUAACUAAAACGACGUUUACUUGGUAUAUAAGUUUAUCAGCCAAUUCCGUCCAAGAUUGGGACGAAUUGGAAAGAAAAUUUCACGAGCGAUUCUAUAGGUCAGAGCCACAAUUAUCGGUCGCCGACUUGGCUUUGUACAGACAAAAGUCAGGUGAAACGGUCGAAGAGUAUUUGAACCGUUUCAAAAUAGCCAAAAUUCGGUGUUUUAUGAGGAUGCCGGAAUCAAAGUUCGCCAAAAUAGCGUUAAAUGGUCUAUAUUUUAAGAUACAAGACCAUUUUGAAGAUAAGUAUUUUUCUAACAUAUUUGAUCUAAGUGUUAGAGUUGCCCAAUAUGAGCAAUUCCAGAAGAAAAGUGAGGACGAUCGGCUGCUAUGGAGCCGAUAUAAAAAUCAAAGCAAAGGCAAGGAGAAAUCCUUACUAGAAGAACAGUCUGUUCAAAAAGAGCUGAGCCAAUCAAGUGAAAGUGAAGAAUCGGCUGAAGAAGCCGAGGUAUAUAUGGCAGGUAAAGAGCCACUUUCUUCAAGGAGAAAUCCUUGAUAGAAGAACAUUCGGUUCAAGAAAAGCCGAAUCAAUCGAGUAAAAGUAAGAAUCGGCUGAUGGAGCCGAGGUAUAUGCAGCUGGGAUGAUAAAGAGCUGUUUUCUUUAAGCCGACCAAGUCCAACUAAGUUAAAGCUUGGGUCUCGGCUACGCUAUUGAGCAGUCGAUUUGGCACCAAUAGUCAUCCGAAUGUUCAUUCGAAAGACUAUUGAGGGGCAUUGUUGAUGCCAAAUUUGAAAUAAACACGUCGACCUAGCCUACAUAUAAGCCGAAGAAAUAAAGACACGUGGUACACCAGGAGUCAGCAAUAAGGCGCCUGAAGGCCAAGAGUGUUUAGGCGAGAACGGUUGAGAAGUGGAGCGUAACUUCCAUGUGAAGUGGGGCAUAACUUUCAUGUGAAAUGGGACGUAACAUCCAUGAGAAGUGGGGCGUAACUUCCACGAUCAUGGUUAUAACCACUCUCCCAACCAACCAAUAAUGUGGAUUGAUGUUACUAUAAAUAGUAAUUUCAAAGCUUGCAAGAGGGGACUUUCUCCAUCCUGAACGAGAAGACCACCCUUAUUUCCUCUACAUUUUAUCGCUUUUCUAGGAGUAGUCUAAAUGUAGUCUUUUUCUUUUUCACAUUUACUGCUUUCCUAGGAGUAGUUUGCUAAGUAGAACCCCGGAGUCUAUCUGCCCCACGGGCAUCACUCCGUUGUAGACUAUAUUUGCAGAGUCUGUCUGCCCCAUGGGCAUCACUCUGUUGUAAACUAUAUUUGCAGAGUCUGUAUGCCCUUUGGGCACACUCUGUUUAAUUAAUAUAUGUAUUUAGGCAUUCGGCUCUUUCAGCCGACCAGUCAUUAUGUAUUUCAUUUAUUCGACUCUUUCAGCCGACCAAUUAUUGUGUACUUCUUCUAUUUGGCUCUUUUGACGACAUUGAUCCCUGCACAGUUCAUACAUUCGGCUCAUCCAGCCGAACUGAUUCUACAGUAAAGGUUUUCGAACUCGGCUGAUCCGAUCCCUCGUCAGCCGAGUCGCUUGAUCUGUCGAAGGGCACAAACUUUGAGGAUCAUUAUCCGCAACCGUUCCUCACUCCGACGCGCUCCCCGAGAAGGAUCUUUGACUCGGUCAAGGGUCGGAAAAUUCGGCUAUCAACAAUUUUUGGCACGUCCGAUAGAACACCAUUUAAGGUAAUUUUACUUUUUAUUAAGAUAUAAUGGCUGACGAUAAUGCUAUGAACCUCCGAAAUAGAGCCAUUCCCAGGCCUUCAGGGAAUGACCAAAAACGUGGGUUGAUGUUACUAUAAAUAGUAAUUUCAAAGCCUACAAGAUGGGUCUUUCUCCAUUCUGAACGAGAAGACCACCCUUAUUUCCUCUAUAUUUUAUCGCUUUUCUAGGAGUAGUCUAAAUAUAAUUUUUUUCUUUUUCGCAUUUACUGCUUUCCUAGGAGUAGUUCGCUAAGUAGAACCCUGAAGUCUGUCUGCCCCAGGGGCAUCACUCCGUUGUAGACUACAUUUGCAGAGUCUGUCUGCCCCAUGGGCAUCACUCUGUUGUAAACUAUAUUUGCAGAGUCUGUAUGCCCUUUGGGCAUACUUUGUUUAAUUAAUAUAUAUAUUUAGGCAUUCGGCUCUUUCAACCGACCAGUCAUUAUAUAUUUCAUUUAUUCGGCUCUUUCAGCCGACCAGUUAUUGUGUACUUCUUCUAUUCGGCUUUUCUGCCGACAUUGAUCCCUGCACAGUUCAUACAUUCGGCUCAUCCAGCCGAACCGAUUCUACAGUAAAGGUUUUCGAACUCGGCUGAUCCGAUCCCUCGUCAGCCGAAUCACUUGAUCUGUCGAAUGGCGCAAACUUCGAGGGUCAUUAUCCGCAGCCGUUCCUCACCCCGACGCGUUCUCCGAGGAGGAUCUUUAACUGGGUCAAGGGUCGGGAAAUUCAGCUACCAACAGCAUGUAAUUAUAAAUGCUGAAUAGUUAAAAUUACUUGCGGUCGAAAAUGUAACAAUUAUAAUUAUAUGCAUCUUAUUUAGCCGAAUUAGUUGAAAAAAUAUCAUUAUAGAUAAUUUAUUUGGUUGCAUACAAUUGAAAACUUAUAUUUACAAAUUUUAUUAUUUAUAUAUAUAGAGUGGUAAGAUUAUCUCUUACAUUGAAAAAAAUAUAUUUUCUAUCAAAAGAAAAUUAGGAAGACAAGUUUAACUUUUUCAAUUAAAAUUAUUAUUCCCGAUUACAUACUACAGGUGAGUCUCCUUAUAUGAUUUCAAUUACAACUGUUGUUGAAUUCAAAUAUAACAAAUCAAAUAUAGUAUUUAAAUUUGCAUAUAGUUAUAACUGUAAUAAAUUGUAAUUACAAACGACAUGUAAACAUCCAUUGCGAGUAGAGGAAAUUCUUUUUUGAGAGAAAGGAUGCAUGCUGUUGAUACCAAAAAAUUAACACGCCAACUUAACCCACAUAUGAGCCAAAUAAAUAAUGACACGUGGUACACCAGGAGUCGGCAAUAAGGCACUUGAAGGUCGAGAGCGUUUAGGCGGGAACGGUUGAGAAGUGGGGUGUAACUUCCAUGAGAAGUGGGGCGUAACUUUCAUGAUCAUGGCUACACCACUUUCCCCACUACUAUAACCAACCAAUAAUGUGGGUUGAUAAGAUAUUAUAAAUAGUAACUUUGAAGCCUGUAAUAGGGAUCUUUCUCUCCCCUGAACGAGAAGACCACAGCAUUUUCAAUAUCUUUAUUUUUCUGCAUUUAUCGCCUUUUUAGGAGUAGUCUACUUGCAAUCUUUUACUUUCUCACAUUUACUGCUUUUCUAUGAGUAGUUUUUAAGUUAGAUCUCUAGAGUCUAUAUGCCCCAUGGGCACUCUCUGUUGUAAUCUAGAUUUUCAGAGUCUGUAUGCCCUUCGGGCACACUUUGUUUUGUAUGAGUUCCCAACUUUAUUUUAAUAUAUAAAGGCAUUCGGCUCUUUCAGCCGACCAGUCACUGUGUAUUCCAUCUAUUCGGCUCUUCGGCCGAUCCAAAGUCUUUGUGCAAUCCGUACAUUCGGCUCAUUCAGCCGAACCGAUUCUACAGUAGAGAUUUUCGAACUCGGCUGAUCCGAUCCCUC